UUUGGAGGUAGAGUUAUCAACGAGCUGAAUACAAACACAAGCAAACUUUGUUCGACUUGUGUUCAUUCGUUUAAAUAAACAAGUCGAACACGAGUUGGUUCGUUAAAAUAUCGACCUGAAAAAUUUAGCCCGUGUUUAGCUUGUUUAUUAACGAACUGAAUACGAGCUAGCUUACAAACAGCAAGUUAGAUUCUCAGUAUUAUUACUGAAUGAAAAGUUGAAAGAAAAUAAGAAAAUUAGAAUCUUAAUCUAAUAAUUAAAAUUUAUAAAAUAUAAGUCACUUU
rnacentral:lncRNA from 1 species